rnacentral:rRNA from 1 species
AGUGAACGCUGGCGGUAGGCCUAACACAUGCAAGUCGAACGGCAGCACAGUAAGAGCUUGCUCUUACGGGUGGCGAGUGGCGGACGGAUGAGGAAUACAUCGGAAUCUACUUUUUCGUGGGGGAUAACGUAGGGAAACUUACGCUAAUACCGCAUACGACCUACGGGUGAAAGCAGGGGAUCUUCGGACCUUGCGCGAUUGAAUGAGCCGAUGUCGGAUUAGCGAGUUGGCGGGGUAAAGGCCCACCAAGGCGGCGAUCCGUAGCUGGUCUGAGAGGAUGAUCAGCCACACUGGAACUGAGACACGGUCCAGACUCCUACGUGAGGCAGCAGUGGGGAAGAUUGGACAAUGGGCGCAAGCCUGCUCCAGCCAUACCGCGUUGGUGAAGAAGGCCUUCGGGUUGUAAAGCCCUUUUGUUGGGAAAGAAAAGCAGCAGGUUAAUACCCCGCUGUUCUGACGGUACCCAAAGAAUAAGCACCGGCUAACUUCGUG